CAAGUGUUCGACAAAAUUAAUUUCACACAAACUUAGUAAUAUUUUCCUUGAUCUCUUAUUGUGUUGAGCAUUAUUAGAGGUAAAUAUAUCAAGGAUCAUAGUAGUUAAUUGAUUGACUUAGAGAGGGGUUGAUUUUCUCCAUCUUAAGUAAUUCUAUUCAGUUCACGUAUAUCCGAUCUUUCCAUUAACGAGAUCAUUUAGACGAUUUCAAUCUAGGGUACUUCCGCAACUAUUGAAAAUAUUUUUAAAAAGCGCUUAAUUUCAAAAC
rnacentral:lncRNA from 1 species